CAACCUCAACUCAUAUGGGACUACCCCCUGAAUUUAAGCAUAUUAAUUAGGGGAGGAAAAGAAACUAACAAGGAUUUUCUUAGUAGCGGCGAGCGAAAAGAAAACAGUUCAGCACUAAGUCACUUUGUCUAUAUGGCAAAUGUGAGAUGCAGUGUAUGGAGCGUCAAUAUUCUAGUAUGAGAAAUUAAUGAUUUAAGUCCUUCUUAAAUGAGGCCAUUUACCCAUAGAGGGUGCCAGGCCCGUAUAACGUUAAUGAUUGCUAGAUGAUGUUUCCAAAGAGUCGUGUUGCUUGAUAGUGCAGCACUAAGUGGGUGGUAAACUCCAUCUAAAACUAAAUAUAACCAUGAGACCGAUAGUAAACAAGUACCGUGAGGGAAAGUUGAAAAGAACUCUGAAUAGAGAGUUAAACAGUACGUGAAACUGCUUAGAGGUUAAGCCCGAUGAACCUGAAUAUCCGUUAUGGAAAAUUCAUCAUUAAAUUGUAAUAUUUAAAUAAUAUAUUUAAGAAUAAUGUGCAUUUUUUCCCAUAUAAGGACAUUGUAAUCUAUUAGCAUAUCCCAAAUUUAUCAUAAAAUAUAACUUAUAGUUUAUUCCAAUUAAAUUGCUUGCAUUUUAACACAGAAUAAAUGUUAUUAAUUUGAUAAAGUGCUGAUAGAUUUAUAUUAUUACAGAGCGUUAAUUUUUCGGAAUUAUAUAAUGGCAUAAUUAUCAUUGAUUUUUGUGUUUAUUAUAUGCUCUUGUAUGAUUAACAAUGCGAAAGAUUCAGGAUACCUUCGGGACCCGUCUUGAAACACGGACCAAGGAGUCUAACAUAUGUGCAAGUUAUUGGGAUGUAAACCUAAUAGCGUAAUUAACUUGACUAAUAAUGGGAUUAGUUUUUUAGCUAUUUAUAGCUAAUUAACACAAUCCCGGGGCGUUCUAUAUAGUUAUGUAUAAUGUAUAUUUAUAUUAUUUAUGCCUCUAACUGGAACGUACCUUGAGCAUAUAUGCUGUGACCCGAAAGAUGGUGAACUAUACUUGAUCAGGUUGAAGUCAGGGGAAACCCUGAUGGAAGACCGAAACAGUUCUGACGUGCAAAUCGAUUGUCAGAAUUGAGUAUAGGGGCGAAAGACCAAUCGAACCAUCUAGUAGCUGGUUCCUUCCGAAGUUUCCCUCAGGAUAGCUGGUGCAUUUUAAUAUUAUAUAAAAUAAUCUUAUCUGGUAAAGCGAAUGAUUAGAGGCCUUAGGGUCGAAACGAUCUUAACCUAUGCUCACACUUUAAAUGGGUCAGAACCUUAUCUUUCUUGAUAUGGAGUUUAAGGUUAUGAUAUAAUGUGCCCAGUGGACCACGUUUGGUAAGCAGAACUGGCGCUGUGGUAUGAACCAAACGUAAUGUUACGGUGCCCAAAUUAACAACUCAUGCAGAUACCAUGAAAGGCGUUGGUUGCUUAAAAAGCAGGACGGUGAUCAUGGUAGUCGAUAUCCGCUAAAGAAGUGUGUAACAACUCAACUGCCGAGCAACUAGCCUCUUAACUGGAUGGCGCUUAGGUUGUAUGCGUAUACAUCACCGCUCAAGCAGAUAAUUAUAUUAUUUG
rnacentral:ncRNA from 1 species